AUACGUAGGGUGCGAGCGUUAAUCGGAAUUACUGGGCGUAAAGCGUGCGCAGGCGGUUUUGUAAGACAGGGGUGAAAUCCCCGGGCUCAACCUGGGAACUGCCAUUGUGACUGCAAGGCUGGAGUGCGGCAGAGGGGGAUGGAAUUCCGCGUGUAGCAGUGAAAUGCGUAGAUAUGCGGAGGAACACCGAUGGCGAAGGCAAUCCCCUGGGCCUGCACUGACGCUCAUGCACGAAAGCGUGGGGAGCAAACAGGAUUAGAUACCCUGGUAGUCCACGCCCUAAACGAUGUCAACUGGUUGUUGGGAAUUUAUUUUCUCAGUAACGAAGCUAACGCGUGAAGUUGACCGCCUGGGGAGUACGGCCGCAAGGUUAAAACUCAAAGGAAUUGACGGGG
rnacentral:rRNA from 1 species